GUGUUAGCCGCCGCGGUAAUACGGAGGGUGCAAGCGUUAAUCGGAAUUACUGGGCGUAAAGCGCACGCAGGCGGUUGAUUAAGUUAGAUGUGAAAUCCCCGGGCUUAACCUGGGAAUGGCAUCUAAGACUGGUCAGCUAGAGUCUUGUAGAGGGGGGUAGAAUUCCAUGUGUAGCGGUGAAAUGCGUAGAGAUGUGGAGGAAUACCGGUGGCGAAGGCGGCCCCCUGGACAAAGACCGACGCUCAGGUGCGAAAGCGUGGGGAGCAAACAGGAUUAGAUACCCUGGUAGUCCACGCUGUAAACGAUGUCGAUUUGGAGGUUGUGCCCUUGAGGCGUGGCUUCCGGAGCUAACGCGUUAAAUCGACCGCCUGGGGAGUACGGCCGCAAGGUUAAAACUUAAAGAAAUUGGCGG
rnacentral:rRNA from 1 species